UGUGUGUGUGUGUGUGUGUGUGUGGUGGAUAUAUGAGGAACUGGAGCCAAGUGGGAGGAAGGUGAGUCAUCGCACCACCCCAGGGGUCUGAGAUCCAGCCUAGCUCCGUGGUCUUGUAUCCACCUCCUCAUCUUCUGUCGUUAAAACUGGAGCUCUGCAGCAUCGAGGUCCUCUUGUCCAAAGUGAGGAGGCUUACCUCGCCUCCCCUCUCCCCCAUCUCCUCCACCAACACACACCCACACACACACACACACACACACACACACGGAUGGAAGGGGUUGGGGCGCAGGCACCCCAGUCCCAGUUUCUUUAAUGCUUGACACUCGCCUUCAAAGUCCUGCUCAUCAAAGCUCCGAACUUGGGAAUCGGGCCCAGCAGCAGCAGCUCGGCGUCCUGCCCUGUGCACACAACAAUAGAGAGAGAGAGACCGGAUAGAGCCGUCUCCCCUUCAGCUUCCUCUGGCUGCACAAAGAUAACUUCCUUACAAGGGCCACCACAGGACAAGGUCCAUAUCUCUUGUGCAAAACUGCCACAAAAAAAUGUCAUGAAUAUAGAAAAUGAGAAUAAGAUGCAGGGCUGAUUUUUUUUUAAAAGAUAGAGUAGUAGAUUUAGUGUCACAAAUUGAAUGGUAAGUGUGUGUGCUUUAAAGAAGUUUUUACCUCCAUACUGUUAAAAAAACAAAUCAUAUUUUCAUAUGUAUUCUGACUGGAAACCUUUCCAACUUUCAAAAUGCUAUAUAUACAUUUUAUGUUCACAUAUAACUCUUUGAAUGCUUUCCCCCCACAGUUGUUUCCUACAGAGAAGCUGGGGUCACGAGAUGUCUGGGAGAGAUGGAUAUGAGCGACCAUCGGCAAAUCAUCUGGGCCUCAGAAUUCUCAUACGCAAACAUGCGAUGGAGGGAAAUAUAAAGACUGUCAAGAUGAAGUGUUCACCUCCAGAGUGUCCUGCCUGAUCCCAGCAGUUGAACCUCGUGUGAUGUGAAGACUCCCGAAUAAGAACUGCUGGAACCCUGCUUUCAUUAGACACAGCCUGGAUCUUGGCAUGGGAGCGCAGGUCGUACAAGGACAUCCCAGAAUAGGAAAAACAGCCUGGACAGAGCCUCCAGCUAAGCACUAAGAGUGGCAGGGAUCCAGACGAAACCACUACACCACACUGACCACUGGGGCGUCAUUCAAUAUGCACGUCUCAGGUAGGACACGCAUGCACGCACCUGUCCUGUCAACAGCGGUUUUUCGAUGGGGCUGUCAGGUGACUGUAAGGACAAAUGUCUCAUGUGAA